GGCAGGCCUAACACAUGCAAGUCGAGCGGUAGCACAGAGAGCUUGCUCUCGGGUGACGAGCGGCGGACGGGUGAGUAAUGUCUGGGAAACUGCCUGAUGGAGGGGGAUAACUACUGGAAACGGUAGCUAAUACCGCAUAACGUCGCAAGACCAAAGUGGGGGACCUUCGGGCCUCAUGCCAUCAGAUGUGCCCAGAUGGGAUUAGCUAGUAGGUGGGGUAACGGCUCACCUAGGCGACGAUCCCUAGCUGGUCUGAGAGGAUGACCAGCCACACUGGAACUGAGACACGGUCCAGACUCCUACGGGAGGCAGCAGUGGGGAAUAUUGCACAAUGGGCGCAAGCCUGAUGCAGCCAUGCCGCGUGUGUGAAGAAGGCCUUCGGGUUGUAAAGCACUUUCAGCGGGGAGGAAGGCGAUAAGGUUAAUAACCUUGUCGAUUGACGUUACCCGCAGAAGAAGCACCGGCUAACUCCGUGCCAGCAGCCGCGGUAAUACGGAGGGUGCAAGCGUUAAUCGGAAUUACUGGGCGUAAAGCGCACGCAGGCGGUCUGUCAAGUCGGAUGUGAAAUCCCCGGGCUUAACCUGGGAACUGCAUUCGAAACUGGCAGGCUAGAGUCUUGUAGAGGGGGGUAGAAUUCCAGGUGUAGCGGUGAAAUGCGUAGAGAUCUGGAGGAAUACCGGUGGCGAAGGCGGCCCCCUGGACAAAGACUGACGCUCAGGUGCGAAAGCGUGGGGAGCAAACAGGAUUAGAUACCCUGGUAGUCCACGCCGUAAACGAUGUCGAUUUGGAGGUUGUGCCCUUGAGGCGUGGCUUCCGGAGCUAACGCGUUAAAUCGACCGCCUGGGGAGUACGGCCGCAAGGUUAAAACUCAAAUGAAUUGACGGGGGCCCGCACAAGCGGUGGAGCAUGUGGUUUAAUUCGAUGCAACGCGAAGAACCUUACCUGGUCUUGACAUCCACAGAACUUUCCAGAGAUGGAUUGGUGCCUUCGGGAACUGUGAGACAGGUGCUGCAUGGCUGUCGUCAGCCCGUGUUGUGAAAUGUUGGGUUAAGUCCCGCAACGAGCGCAACCCUUAUCCUUUGUUGCCAGCGGUCCGGCCGGGAACUCAAAGGAGACUGCCAGUGAUAAACUGGAGGAAGGUGGGGAUGACGUCAAGUCAUCAUGGCCCUUACGACCAGGGCUACACACGUGCUACAAUGGCAUAUACAAAGAGAAGCGACCUCGCGAGAGCAAGCGGACCUCAUAAAGUAUGUCGUAGUCCGGAUUGGAGUCUGCAACUCGACUCCAUGAAGUCGGAAUCGCUAGUAAUCGUAGAUCAGAAUGCUACGGUGAAUACGUUCCCGGGCCUUGUACACACCGCCCGUCACACCAUGGGAGUGGGUUGCAAAAGAAGUAGGUAGCUUAACCUUCGGGAGGGCGCUUACCACUUUGUGAUUCAUGACUGGGGUGAAGUCGUAACAAGG
rnacentral:rRNA from 1 species